GACAGAGGUGGCGAGCGUUGUUCGGAAUUACUGGGCUUAAAGGGCGAGUAGGCGGUAAAGCAAGUCCAAGGUGGAAGCCUAUGGCUUAACCAUAGAAUUGCCUUGGAAACUGUUUUACUUGAGUCAGUGAGGGGAGGGCGGAAUUCCUGGUGUAGCGGUGAAAUGCGUAGAUAUCAGGAGGAAGGCCUGUGGCGAAGGCGGCCCUCUGGCACUGGACUGACGCUGAGGCGCGAAAGCGUGGGGAGCAAACAGGAUUAGAUACCCUGGUAGUCCACGCCCUAAACGGUGGGCAUUAGGUGUAGGGCUCGUUAGGGUUCUGUGCCGCAGGGAAACCAUUAAAUGCCCCGCCUGGGGAAUACGGCCGCAAGGUUGAAACUCAAAGGAAUUGACGGGGGCCCGCACAAGCGGUGGAGCAUGUGGUUUAAUUCGACGCUACGCGAAGAACCUUACCUGGGCUUGACAUGCUAGUGGUAAGAACCCGAAAGGGGGAUGACUCCAACUUUGUUGGAGAGCUAACACAGGUGCUGCAUGGCUGUCGUCAGCUCGUGCCGUGAGGUGUUGGGUUAAGUCCCGCAACGAGCGCAACCCUUAUUCUCUGUUGGUCGGAAACGACCUCUCUGAGGAAACUGCCAGCGAUGAGCUGGAGGAAGGUGGGGACGACGUCAAGUCAUCAUGGCCCUUACGUCCAGGGCGACACACGUGCUACAAUGGCCGCUACAGAGGGUCGCAAUACCGCGAGGUGGAGCCAAUCCCUAAAAGCGGUCUCAGUUGGGAUCGGAGUCUGCAACUCGACUCCGUGAACGAGGAAUCGCUAGUAAUCGUGGAUCAGCCAUGCCACGGUGAAUACGUUCCCGGGCCU
rnacentral:rRNA from 1 species